rnacentral:rRNA from 1 species
AAACCAACAGGGAUUACCUUAGUAACGGCGAGUGAAGCGGUAAAAGCUCAAAUUUGAAAUCUUGCACUUUCAGUGUACGAGUUGUAAUUUGAAGAAGGUAUCUUUGGAGUUGGCCCCCGUCUAUGUUCCUUGGAACAGGACGUCACAGAGGGUGAGAAUCCCGUGCGAUGGGGAGACCAAUUCUAUGUAAAGUUCCUUCGAAGAGUCGAGUUGUUUGGGAAUGCAGCUCUAAGUGGGUGGUAAAUUCCAUCUAAAGCUAAAUAUUGGCGAGAGACCGAUAGCGAACAAGUACAGUGAUGGAAAGAUGAAAAGAACUUUGAAAAGAGAGUGAAAAAGUACGUGAAAUUGUUGAAAGGGAAGGGCUUUUGAUCAGACUUGGUGUUUAGUACUCUCUACUCCUUGUGGGUGGGGCUCUUGCUUUAUACUGGGCCAGCAUCGGUUUGGAUGGUAGGAUAAUAGCUUUGGAAUGUGGCUUCAUUCGUGAAGUGUUAUAGCCUUUGUUGAUACUACCUAUCUAGACCGAGGACUGCGUCUUUUGACUAGGAUGCUGGCGUAAUGAUUAAAAGCCGC